rnacentral:misc_RNA from 1 species
CAGAGUUAUCCAACUCCCAAACCCAUGUGAACUUAUCUCUUUGUUGCCUCGGCGCAAGCUACCCGGGACCUCGCGCCCCGGGCGGCCCGCCGGCGGACAAACCAAAACUCCUGUUAUCUUAGUUGAUUAUCUGAGUGUCUUAUUUAAUAAGUCA